CAACCUCAUGGAUUACAUAUAUUUAUAAGAGCAGUGUUAAAGACCAUUUAAUCUUUAUCAAAUCUUAUAUAAAGUAUCUACUGCAUUCUUUUUGGCAGAAAUUGGUUCAAUAACAUCAGAUAAAGUAAAAUCCUAAAUAAAAUGGAUUGCAGGCGUUAAUAACACAUAACUCCUUACAUGUUCAAGAGUAUUUCUGCAUAGUGCACUCUGACUGUUGACAAUAUUUUGCAUACUGAUAUGAGUAAAAGUGACUUCAACAACCAGAAUGUAUUUUUGAUAAAUAUUAGUAAUAACAGCUCAUAUUUAAACGAGAUAAUAUGUAAAGAGGUUUUCAAAGAAGUCAUUUUAACAACAAUGGAAAAGCUUCCGAUUCCCGAGAUAACCGUGAAAGCAUUCGAUACAUGAUUAAAGAAUCGUUUAAAAGUUUGCUUAAUUUCGACAGUGUAAUUUUAAUUACUAUUUUUU